rnacentral:rRNA from 1 species
UACGUAGGGGGCAAGCGUUGUCCGGAUUUAUUGGGCGUAAAGCGUGCGUAGGCGGUUUUCUAAGUUUGGUGUGAAAUCUCCCGGCUCAACUGGGAGGGUGCGCCGAAUACUGAAUGACUUCGAGUGCGGGAGAGGAAAGUGGAAUUCCUGGUGUAGCGGUGAAAUGCGUAGAUAUCAGGAGGAACACCGGUGGUGUAGACGGCUUUCUGGACCGUAACUGACGCUGAGACACGAAAGCGUGGGUAGCAAACAGG